GGACGAUUAGCUCAGCUGGUUAGAGCGUGCGGUUCACAUCCGCAAGGUCACUGGUUCGAACCCAGUAUCGUCCACCA
rnacentral:tRNA from 1 species